rnacentral:rRNA from 1 species
AUUGAACGCUGGCGGCAGGCUUAACACAUGCAAGUCGAGCGGAGAUGAGGUGCUUGCACCUUAUCUUAGCGGCGGACGGGUGAGUAAUGCUUAGGAAUCUGCCUAUUAGUGGGGGACAACAUUCCGAAAGGAAUGCUAAUACCGCAUACGUCCUACGGGAGAAAGCAGGGGAUCUUCGGACCUUGCGCUAAUAGAUGAGCCUAAGUCGGAUUAGCUAGUUGGUGGGGUAAAGGCCUACCAAGGCGACGAUCUGUAGCGGGUCUGAGAGGAUGAUCCGCCACGCUGGGACUGAGACACGGCCCAGACUCCUACGGGAGGCAGCAGUGGGGAAUAUUGGACAAUGGGGGGAACCCUGAUCCAGCCAUGCCGCGUGUGUGAAGAAGGCCUUAUGGUUGUAAAGCACUUUAAGCGGGGAGGAGGCUACUGAGACUAAUACUCUUGGAUAGUGGACGUUACUCGCAGAAUAAGCACCGGCUAACUCUGUGCCAGCCGCCGCGGUAACAC